UACGUAGGCAGCAAGCGUUGUUCGGAAUUACUGGGCGUAAAGAGUGUGUAGGCGGUGCUCUAAGUUUGGUGUGAAAUCUCCCGGCUCAACUGGGAGGGUGCGCCGAAAACUGGAAUGCUUGAACAUGGGGAGAGGAAAGCGGAAUUCCUGGUGUAGCGGUGAAAUGCGUAGAUAUCAGGAGGAACACCUGCGGUGUAGACGGCUUUCUGGACCAUUGUUGACGCUGAGACACGAAAGCGUGGGUAGCAAACAGG
rnacentral:rRNA from 1 species